rnacentral:rRNA from 1 species
GUGGGGAAUCUUGCGCAAUGGGCGAAAGCCUGACGCAGCCAUGCCGCGUGAAUGAUGAAGGUCUUAGGAUUGUAAAAUUCUUUCACCGGGGACGAUAAUGACGGUACCCGGAGAAGAAGCUCCGGCUAACUUCGUGCCAGCAGCCGCGGUAAUACGAAGGGGGCUAGCGUUGCUCGGAAUUACUGGGCGUAAAGGGCGCGUAGGCGGACAGCUUAGUCAGAGGUGAAAGCCCAGGGCUCAAACUUGGAAUUGCCUCUGAUACUGGCUGUCUUGAGUUUGGUAGAGGUGAGUGGAACUCCGAGUGUAGAGGUGAAAUUCGUAGAUAUUCGGAAGAACACCAGUGGCGAAGGCGACUCACUGGCCCAAUACUGACGCUGAGGCGCGAAAGCGUGGGGAGCAAACAGGAUUAGAUACCCGGGUAGUCC